rfam:Oryza glumipatula chromosome 2, whole genome shotgun sequence.
AAAAAGACAAACCCUGGGUUUCCGUGUCCAACUUUGACUGUCCGUCUUAUAUGAAAUUUUUUUAUAAUUCGUAUUUUCAUUGUUGUUAAAUGAUAAAACAUGAUUAAUAUUUUAUGCGUGACUUGUCUUUUUACUUUUUUUUCAUAAUUUUUUCAAAUAAGACGGACGGUCAAACAUUGGGCACGGAAAUCAGGGUUUGUCUUUUU